AAGGAGAACAGUUUAGAACUGAUAGAGCUAUAAAGUAUACGUUUAGUUUUGGUUUUCUCCUGUAGUGACCCUGUAGAUGAUCCUUACUGGAGGAAACUUAAACUAAACUAACUUCAUUUUUACUGGAUAGCUCUAUCAGUUCUAAACUGUUCUUCCU